UUUCUCAGAUGUGGCGAUCCUUAGGCAGAGGAACCAGCAGCCCCCACAAACAGCUUCCUUUGGAAGGAGAGGAGAUCACGGCUAAGGCAGUACAGCAAUGGAGGAAAUACCUUGUUUUCUCAAGAAGAGGAGGACCGUGGACACUACAAUGAGGAACAACAGGAUGGAUCCCAGAAGCACCCAGUGAGUCCUGUUCUGUGGAGGAUGUGUUGCAGGCAGUUCUGGAAAAGGAUAAAGAGAAGCUGAUGGAAAGUCAGUCCAUACUGGCCUUGAACUUGCUAUGAAGCUGAGGAUGACCUUGAACUGACCCUCCGGCUUCCACCACCAAAGUGUUUAGACUAUAGAGCUAUCUCUAGACAUCAAUGUACUGUUGACAUACAUUGGGAAAGGGGUGUCGAUGGAGGCAGAA
rnacentral:lncRNA from 1 species